CUGUUAUGUCCUGAUGGAGAGGGUGUGUUUGUUUUAGAUGGGGAGCUUUGUUAGUUCUGUUAUGUCCUGAUGGAGAGGGUGGGUUAGUUCUGUUAUGUCCUGAUGGAGAGGGUGUGUUUGUUUUAGAUGGGGAGCUUUGUUAGUUCUGUUAUGUCCUGAUGGAGAGGGUGGGUUAGUUUGUUUUCCUGAUGGGGGGUGCUUUGAUUAGUUCUGUUAUGUCCUGAUGGAGAGGGUGGGUUAGUUCUGUUAUGUCCUGAUGGAGAGGCUUGGUUAAUUCUGUUAUGUCCUGAUGGAGAGGGUGUGUUUGUUUUAGAUGGGGC
ensembl:lncRNA